rnacentral:rRNA from 1 species
UACGGAGGGUGCAAACGUUGCUCGGAAUCAUUGGGCGUAAAGCGCACGUAGGCGGUCGGCUAUGUCGGAUGUGAAAGCCUCGGGCUUAACCCGAGAAGGGCAUCCGAAACUGGCCGGCUUGAGUACGGAAGAGGGUCUCGGAAUUCCCGGUGUAGAGGUGAAAUUCGUAGAUAUCGGGAGGAACACCUAUGGCGAAGGCAGCUCGCUGGGACGUUACUGACGCUGAGACGCGAAAGCGUGGGGAGCAAACAGG